GCAGUAGCCGCGGGAAAACGUAGGUGGCAAGCGUUGUCCGGAAUUAUUGGGCGUAAAGGGCUCGCAGGCGGUUUCUUAAGUCUGACGUGAAAGCCCCCGGCUCAACCGGGGAGGGUCAUUGGAAACUGGGAAACUUGAGUGCAGAAGAGGAGAGUGGAAUUCCACGUGUAGCGGUGAAAUGCGUAGAGACGUGGAGGAACACCAGUGGCGAAGGCGACUCUCUGGUCUGUAACUGACGCUGAGGAGCGAAAGCGUGGGGAGCGAACAGGAUUAGAUACCCGCGUAGUCCCUGUCUCUUAUAC
rnacentral:rRNA from 1 species